rnacentral:rRNA from 1 species
CUGGCUCAGAACGAACGCUGGCGGCAGGCCUAACACAUGCAAGUCGAGCGAGGACUUCGGUCCUAGCGGCGGACGGGUGAGUAACGCGUGGGAACGUGCCCUUCACUACGGAAUAGUCCCGGGAAACUGGGUUUAAUACCGUAUACGCCCUUCGGGGGAAAGAAUUUCGGUGAAGGAUCGGCCCGCGUCUGAUUAGGUAGUUGGUGGGGUAACGGCCUACCAAGCCUACGAUCAGUAGCUGGUUUGAGAGGAUGAUCAGCCACACUGGGACUGAGACACGGCCCAGACUCCUACGGGAGGCAGCAGUGGGGAAUCUUAGACAAUGGGGGCAACCCUGAUCUAGCCAUGCCGCGUGAGUGACGAAGGCCCUAGGGUCGUAAAGCUCUUUCACCAGGGAAGAUAAUGACGGUACCUGGAGAAGAAACCCCGGCUAACUCCGUGCCAGCAGCCGCGGUAAUACGGAGGGGGUUAGCGUUGUUCGGAAUUACUGGGCGUAAAGCGCGCGUAGGCGGACUGUUAAGUCAGGGGCGAAAUCCCGGGGCUCAACCCCGGAACUGCCCUUGAUACUGGCAGUCUCGAGUUCGAGAGAGGUGAGUGGAACUCCGAGUGUAGAGGUGAAAUUCGUAGAUAUUCGGAAGAACACCAGUGGCGAAGGCGGCCCACUGGCUCGAUACUGACGCUGAGGUGCGAAAGUGUGGGGAGCAAACAGGAUUAGAUACCCUGGUAGUCCACACCGUAAACGAUGAAUGCCAGACGUCGGGCAGCAUGCUGUUCGGUGUCACACCUAACGGAUUAAGCAUUCCGNCUGGGGAGUACGGCCGCAAGGGUUAAACUCAAAGGAAUUGACGGGGGCCCGCACAAGCGGUGGAGCAUGUGGUUUAA